rnacentral:rRNA from 1 species
AGUGAACGCUGGCGGUAGGCCUAACACAUGCAAGUCGAACGGCAGCACAGUAAGAGCUUGCUCUUACGGGUGGCGAGUGGCGGACGGGUGAGGAAUACAUCGGAAUCUACUUUUUCGUGGGGGAUAACGUAGGGAAACUUACGCUAAUACCGCAUACGACCUACGGGUGAAAGCAGGGGAUCUUCGGACCUUGCGCGAUUGAAUGAGCCGAUGUCGGAUUAGCUAGUUGGCGGGGUAAAGGCCCACCAAGGCGACGAUCCGUAGCUGGUCUGAGAGGAUGAUCAGCCACACUAGAACUGAGACACGGACCAGACUCCUACGGGAGGCAGCAGCGGGGAAUAGUGGACAGUGGGCGCAAGCCUGAUCCAGUCAUACCGCGUGGGUGAAGAAGGCGUUCGGGUUGUAAAGCCCUUUUGUUGGGAAAGAAAAGCAGCAGGUUAAUACCCCGCUGUUCUGACGGUACCCAAAGAAUAAGCACCGGCUAACUUCGUG